rnacentral:tRNA from 1 species
GGCCCGGUAGUGUAUAACACGUCAGAUUGCAAAUCUGAAAAUGCGGGUAAUUUUUGCUCGGGCCU